UGGACUUGAGGUUUGGUAACAUGCAAGCUACAUUUAGUCCUACGAAAGCAAUUCGUGAUUUGCCGUAAAUUGACCGCUGACAGCUUCUACGAUAUGAUUUUUAUGAUGCAAAUAUUAAUCAUAAUAAUAGAGGAAAGCCCGUUUGUAUUUAGAAAUCUGUCGUUUGGGUUAGUCCGCUGGACAUGAUCGUCCGACUAGAAACCAUGUGUGGGUCCAUCACGUAGCUCGUAAACCACGUUGACUGACUAAUCGUGACAACAUUCUAAAUCGUUUCAUUGUAUGAAUGGACUGCGUUCCGUGCCUCUUUGUAUCGCCAUGUUACCCACAACAAUGGCGAUUUGUUUGUGGCCAGUGGUUUCAAAAGGCAUGGGUGCGAAACGUCUUGCGAUGGUGUGUCCAGAGACAGAUUCAGAACUCCAUCGGUGACCAUGUUGCUUGUAGACCACAGCACGCACACACACCAGAUUGUGGUUCAUUGGGGACAUAUACCGUCAUAUGAGCCCCCCAGACUGGAAGGUAGUAACGACUAUCCUCAAACAUCACACGACCCAACCCCGAACAUGAUUGCCUCUGUGACGUUGUCGCUCCAGCCGACCCCACCCGUUACCCAGGUGCAAGCCCCCCCCCCAAAAAAAAUAACCCCUUCAACCACACUCAUGAUUCCCGGCUGACCCAGGCAAAGGAGGGCGCUCAGUCCAACAGUGGAGAGUCCAACCGGUCCCAGAAUCCCUUGCAGGUUGCAGCCACCCGAAACACAGAGACCACGGCCGUGAUCGCGAUUCGCCACGAUACUUAAUUUGAUAUUUAUUCUUCUAUGUAUUCUUCACUUUACUUGUUUGAUACUUCAUACCCAAGAUCUACCACUACCUUUUUAAAUGUGUUUUUUUAUUUGUAUGAAUACAAUAAAAGGUCUUG